UUUUGCACUGGUCAGAGUCGGUUUAGUAGUAGUAUGAUGGGAAGUUUGAAUGAAUCAGCCAAACACACUAUUCAAAGAACAAGUCAAUGUCUUUUAAUUUGCAGAUAAUUAAGAAGACCCGGACACCAGACUGCAGUCUGGUCAUGACGGAGUCACAAUAAACUCCUUUGUCAUUCAUCUUCCAUUGACACUCAGUGGAAGCCAACCAUCAUCACUCGAUGGAAGUCGAGAGGAAACAAUUUUUCCUUCUCACUCGGGGUACCAAUUUCGUUACUCGAACCCUGGUGCGACUCCAGCAUCAUGCUGAGUCACUACCACUUUGCUGGGUGAGUAUUGGUGUCCCUUUUCUAUUUUAUAGAUAAUUAAACGUUUUAAACACACAACUUAAUUCCGGGUUUAAUCCGGUUCACUAAAGAUUUUCAUAACCAGAAUAUAUUACGCGUAUGUGGAUCAUUUACCACCAAGUCAACAUAUUUUAGCCAAGAGGGAGACUUAAAUAUCGUCGUAUU